CUCAACCUGAACUCAGUCGUGAUUACCCGCUGAACUUAAGCAUAUCAUUUAGCGGAGGAAAAGAAACUAAAAAGGAUUCCCUUAGUAACGGCGAGUGAAACGGGAAGAGCCCAGCGCCGAAUCGAUCAGUCUUUGGCUGCUUCGAAAUGUGGCGUAUAGGUGUAAGUUUCCAGCAGUGUCGUAUGUCCGAAGUCCUUACGAUUGAGGCCAUAAACCAGAGAGGGUGCGAGCCCCGUUCUGGAUAGCGGCACUGUUGGUUCGCUUGCUCCUUGGAGUCGGGUUGCUUGAAAGUGCAGCCUAAAGUGGGUGAUAAACUUCAUCUAAGGCUAAAUAUCGACUCGAUUGCGAUAGCGAACAAGUACCGUGAGGGAAAGUUGCAAAGGACUUUGAAGAGAGAGUUCAAGAGAACGUGAAAUCGCUGGAGUGGAACCGGAGACAGUUGAUGUUGCUUGGAGACAAGCUUGGUGACUGGUCGCUUAGUUGUGAUCGUUGCCGGGUGUCGUUUCCUAUGCUACGCCGACGGCGUUGGCUGCUCGUUCUAGCCCGACAGUGUUGCCCAUCUCGCAAGAGAAGGUGUCUUGCUGGCGGUAGUGGGUUCGUGGCGGCUAGCGUUUAGUUACGCUAGUGUGUGUGACGUCGGUGUGAAAGUCGACGACGUUUCCGACCCGUCUUGAAACACGGAUUGCGGAGUGCUUGUCUACUGCGAGUCAAAGGGUGUUAAAACCUUGCGGCGAAAUGAAAGUAAAGGUCAGUCUCGAAUUGGCCGACGUGGGAUCUGUGUUCUUCGGAGUGCAGCGCACCACGGCCCUGUGCGUGUCACUUGUGACUGUGCAGAGGUUGAGCAGUUGGCAAACGACCCGAAAGAUGGUGAACUAUGCCUGAGCAGGAUGAAGCCAGAGGAAACUCUGGUGGAAGUCCGUAUCGGUUCUGACGUGCAAAUCGAUCGAUAGACUUGGGUAUAGGGGCGAAAGACUAAUCGAACCAUCUAGUAGCUGGUUCCUUCCGAAGUUUCCCUCAGGAUAGCUGGAUCUCAGGCAGUUAUAUUCGGUAAAGCUAAUGAUUAGAGGCCUUGGGGACGUAAUGUCCUCAACCUAUUCUCAAACUUUCAAUGGAUAUGAAGUUGCAGUUUCUUUAGUGAACUGUCAACGUGAAUGCGAGGUCCAAGUGGGCCAUUUUUGGUAAGCAGAACUGGCGCUGUGGGAUGAACCAAACGUGGAGUUAAGGUGCCUAACUUCUCGCUCAUGAGACCCCAUAAAAGGUGUUGGUUGAUAUUGACAGCAGGACGGUGGCCAUGGAAGUCGGUAUCCGCUAAGGAGUGUGUAACAACUCACCUGCCGAAUCAACUAGCCCUGAAAAUGGAUGGCGCUUAAGCGAGAGACCUAUACUCCGCCGUUGCGACAUGUGCGUUGUCUAGCGCCAGGUCGUAACGAGUAGGAAGGUCGUGGCGGUUGCGUUGAAGGCUAUGAGCGUAGGCUCGGCUGGAGCUUCCGUCAGUGCAGAUCGUAAUGGUAGUAGCAAAUAUUCAAGUUCGAUCCUUGAAGACUGAAGUGGAGAAGGGUUCCACGUGAACAGUAGUUGGAUGUGGGUCAGUCGAUCCUAAGGUACUGGCGAACGCCUUGUAUCAUCGGUGGCGAAAAGCUUGCUUUUAGUCCCCGCUUGUCGAAAGGGAAUAGGGUUAAUAUUCCCUAACUGAGAUGCAAAGAUUGUGUUCUUCGGAGCACAAGCGCGGUAACGCAUUCGAACUUGGUUAGUCGCUCAAAGACCGAGCUAGAGUUUUCUUCUCUAGUUAAGGAACGGACUCCCUGGAAUUGGUUCAGCCAGAGAUGGGGACGUUGUUUCCGAAAAGCACCGCGGUUUCUGUGGUGUCUCGUGCUCUUUGAACGGCCCUUAAAACACCAAGGGAGGCUAUUAAUUUGCACUCAAUCGUACCGAUAUCCGCAUUAGGUCUCCAAGGUGAACAGCCUCUAGUCGAUAGAAUAAUGUAGGUAAGGGAAGUCGGCAAACUAGAUCCGUAACUUCGGGAAAAGGAUUGGCUCCAGUGGUUGGAACGGUUGGCCAGUUGGUUGAUGCUUGUCCGGCGCAGUUCUGUCUGCUUGAUACUUUCGGGUUGAUGGCGGACUAGUGAUUGUGCUUGCUUGCGGACGCUUUCUGGUGUGUGCUUGGACCUCGGUUCUAGUAUCCUGAUCGCUCAUCUAAACAACCGUACUGGAACCGGUACGGACUCAGGGAAUCCGACUGUCUAAUUAAAACAGAGGUGACAGAUGGUCCUUGCGGACGUUGACUGUCACUGAUUUCUGCCCAGUGCUCUGAAUGUUAAAUCGUAGUAAUUCGAGUAAGCGCGGGUAAACGGCGGGAGUAACUAUGACUCUCUUAAGGUAGCCAAAUGCCUCGUCAUUUAAUUGUUGACGCGCAUGAAUGGAUUAACGAGAUUCCUACUGUCCCUAACUACUUUCUAGCGAAACCACAGCCAAGGGAACGGGCUUGGCAAAAAUAGCGGGGA
rnacentral:rRNA from 1 species